AUGGCUUUCUGGAAGCAACAGGGGAAAGUGCGCGCUGCUAUUCACGGUGAGGAGAACUCUCAGUACUUCCACGCCACCGCCUCCCAGAGACUUCGAAAGAACACCAUAAUUUCCCUCCUACAAAAUGGGACGGAGUUCCAUUCCCACGACAAAAAAGCAGUCAUUCUUCAGCAACACUUCACAUCCAUCAUAGGUUGCGCACCGCCUACAUCCUGGGCCUUCCAGCCACAACAAUUCUACCCCCAACCCCUACCCCAACUACUCAAUAUAGAAUCUACCUUUUCUCAGGAUGAAAUAAAAGAUGCUUUCAUGCAAAUGAACCCCCUAGCUAGCCCCGGACCGGAUGGUUUUGGCCCCCCCUUCUACCGAAAAUACUGGAAUCUCAUAAAAAACCACAUCUUCUUAUUCAUGACAGACUUCCAAAACCUCUCUGCACAAACUGAAUGCUUAAACCGCGCCCACCUAAUUCUGCUGCCAAAAAUAGAAGAAGCAAAUACACCAGGAUCCUACCGCCCGAUCUCUCUCCAAAAUUGUCCCGUCAAAGCCGCCGCCAAGAUCCUCACAAACAGAAUAAAAACGCUGAUCCCACUGCUUGUUCAGGGAAACCAGACUGGCUUUAUCUCAGGCCGUUGCAUCGUGGAAAACUUUAUCUAUGCUACGGACCUUAUCGACUCCUGCCAUAAUCGAAAAGCCCCAACCAUGGUCAUGAAACUAGACUUCUCAAAAUCCUUCGACACUAUCUCCUGGGAAUAUCUCCACGCCAUCCUCCACUUCAGCGGCUUCCCGCCAAAAUUCACGGCCUGGAUCUAG
rnacentral:rRNA from 1 species